rnacentral:rRNA from 1 species
GUAAUACGUAGGUCCCGAGCGUUGUCCGGAUUUAUUGAGUGUAAAGGGAGCGCAGACGGUUAGAUAGGUCUGAAUUUAAAGGCUGUGGCUUAACCAUAGUAUGCUUUGGAAACUGUUUAACUUGAGUGCAGAAGGGGAGAGUGGAAUUCCAUGUGUAGCGGUGAAAUGCGUAGAUAUAUGGAGGAACACCGGUGGCGAAAGCGGCUCUCUGGUCUGUAACUGACGCUGAGGCUCGAAAGCGUGGGGGGCAAACAGG